rnacentral:tRNA from 1 species
GCCGGUGUAGCUCAGUGGUAGAGCAUUCGAUUCGUAAUCGAACGGUCGGCGGUUCAAAUCCGCCCAUCGGCC